GUUUUAAACCCCUGAUUUACACCUUACAGAUGUUUGAUGCUUGAAUCUUUCUCCCCACCCUCGUCCCUGUCCAUGAACGGGUCAUUGGUGCAGUAGACCUGCUAAGGGACCCUGUGUGGAUUGACUGUGGGCUGUGGACAUAUCACUUCCUACCAGAGAUGAGGGGAACAGCUUGAGUCUGACGUCAGAGAGCGGGAAAGACCUAGAGACCUGUCUCUAGCUGGACCUCCAUAUCACAUACUACCGUCCUUAUUCCCCUUCCCCCACACCACCAUCACUGGCAUCUGUUUCUACCACCACCUCCACUCACUGGGAAGGAUUUGGGAUGACAGUUAACCUCCUCAGCUCUAUCUCACUCCUCCUCACCACCCAGGGAUAACCAGCACUAGAACCUCUGUACCCUGAGAGGCACACUACCACCCUCCCUCACCUCCCCCCAGCUGGCAUCAUGAUGGGAGAUGGAGUUGGGAACUGGGAGUGUCUGAGUCCGUCUGAGUUUGGUCAGCUGCAGCAAUACAGCGAGUAUUCCACCAAGAAGCUCAAGGAUGUUCUGGAGGAGUUUCACGGUGAAGGAGUCCUCUCCAAGUACAAUCCUGAGCAGCCCAUAGACUAUGAGGGUUUCCAGCUCUUCAUGACCACAUACCUGGAGAACGACAUCCCUGAGGAACUGUGUCAGCACCUGUUCACCUCCUUCAAGAGCAAGACAGGGGGCUGCUCUCCUGAGGUGCCCCGUUCAUUACUUCCACUCCACCUGGACAGCUUUCCGUCACCCCAGAAGGGCUCCCCCUUACCCUCCCCCCAGGUGGUGUUUCUGAAGGACAUUGUGUGUUACCUGUCCCUGCUGGAGAGGGGCACACCAGAGGACAAGCUGGAAUUCAUGUUCCGGCUGUACGACACAGAUGGCAAUGGAGUACUGGACAGCUCGGAACUGGACCGCAUCAUCAAUCAGAUGGUCCACGUGGCAGAGUACCUGGAAUGGGACUCUACAGAGCUGCGACCAAUCCUGAAGGAGAUGAUGGAAGAGAUAGACUAUGACCGAGACGGAACAGUCACUCUGGAGGAGUGGAUCAGAGGAGGCCUCACCACCAUCCCUCUGCUGGUCCUGCUGGGUAUGGAGACGAAUGUGCAGGAGGAUGGGCAGCAUGUGUGGAAACUAAAGCACUUCAACAAGCCAGCCUACUGUAAUUUCUGCCAAACCAUGCUGUUGGGAGUCCGCAAGCAGGGCCUCUGCUGCUCUAUAUGCAAGUACACAGUCCAUGAACGCUGUGUAUCCAAAGACAUCGCUGCCUGCAUCAGCACCUACGCCAAGUCCCGCAGACACACUAAUGCUAUGCAGCACGUGUGGAUGGAGGGAAACUCUCCCACUAAGUGCGACCGCUGUCACAGAAGUAUCAAGUGCUACCAGGGCUUAACGGGCCUACACUGUGUGUGGUGUCAGAUCACUCUCCAUAAUAAGUGUGCGUCCAACAUGAAACCGGAGUGUGAUGGAGGAGCCCUUAGAGACCACACUCUACUCCCAUCCUACAUCUGCCCUGUAGUCCUGGUGAGAUCACACGCCGUAAAUCACACUCUGAAUCUCGAAAUUCAAAGCUUCAAAUUCACAGGAGACGGACAAGCACUGCAGAUCACUCCUCUCCCAGGCACACAUCCCCUCCUGGUCCUGGUCAACCCAAAGAGUGGCGGGAGACAAGGGGAGCGGGUAUUGAGAAAGUUCCAGUACCUGCUGAACCCCAGACAGGUGUACAGUCUAGACCGAGAGGGACCCAUGGUGGGGCUCAACUUCUUCCAUGAUGUCCCUGAUUUCCGGGUGCUGGCGUGUGGAGGGGAUGGGACAGUGGGAUGGAUCUUAGACUGUAUUGACAAGGCCAACUUCACCAGAGAUCCCCCUGUGGCCAUCCUCCCUCUGGGCACAGGGAACGACCUGGCAAGAUGCCUACGCUGGGGUGGAGGUUAUGAAGGAGGCAGUCUUCUGAAGUUCCUGCGGGACAUAGAGCACAGCACAGAGAUGGUUCUGGACCGAUGGAACAUCGACAUCGUCCCUGUUGACAAGGAGGAGAAGGGAGACCCUGUCCCCAACAGCAUCGUCAACAACUACUUCUCCAUCGGAGUGGAUGCGUCCAUCGCUCAUCGCUUCCACUUGAUGAGAGAGAAGCACCCAGAGAAAUUCAACAAGACCAUCUCUGCCACGUGCAAGAAACUCAACGAGUGUAUCGAAGUGGAGUGUGAUGGUAUCAUCCUGGACCUCAGCAGCACGUCGUUGGAAGGCAUCGCCGUCCUCAACAUACCCAGCAUGCAUGGCGGCUCCAACCUGUGGGGCGAGACCAAGAAGAGGAGGAACUACAGCCGCAUGAGCAAGAAGGUUCCGGACAGGAUGCCCGCCAGUACCGUCACCGAUAUAAAGGAGCUCAAAUUCUGUGUUCAGGACCUGAGUGACCAGUUGCUAGAGGUGGUGGGUCUGGAGGGGGCCAUGGAGAUGGGGAAGAUCUACUCAGGCCUGAAGAGUGCUGGCCGUAGACUGGCCCAGUGUGCUAACGUCACCAUCAGGACAUCCCGGCUGCUGCCCAUGCAGAUCGAUGGGGAGCCUUGGAUGCAGCCCCCAUGCACGAUCAAGAUCACACAUAAGAACCAGGUUCCCAUGCUACUGGGCCCUCCUCAGAAGACCCCCUUCUUGUUCUUCAAGAGACGCAACAGAAGUCGGGACUAUGAGUGAGGAGGACACUUCAAACUCCCCCCUCUUCACAAACACAUUCACCAACCUCUUGGGACAACUCAAUAGGUCCCACAGACCAAGUCAUUGCCCCUUGGACCUACAGUACCACUUCAGAAUGAACUGACUUCCUCUCAGUGUAAUGACCACUUCCUGUGUAUCCAUGUUCUAGCUUCUAGAACUUCCUGUGAACUCUGAACUCUGACCCUGCCACUGGCACACUAGCUCAGUCAACCCCAGCUCCAGACUCAGCU
ensembl:lncRNA